CGUGGUGGUUAUGGUGGGAGGGUCACACCCGGUCUCAUUCCGAACCCGGUCGUUAAGUCUCCUUGCGCUGAUGGUACUG
rfam:Nocardiopsis sp. NRRL B-16309 P441contig135.1, whole genome shotgun sequence.